UUAAUUUUUAUUUAUUAAUAAGUUUUAAUUUGAAAUUUUUUAUAUUAGAAAUAACUGUAAAUAAUAAAGUUUUAGUAUUGUAUAAAGAAAUAAUAAUUUUAAUAAUAGUGUAUUAGUAUUGUGAAAGAAAAUUGAAAUAAUUUGAAAAAUUUUUAUUUUAAAAGAAAAUUUAAUUUAUUGUACCUUGUGUAUCAGGGUUUAUUAAUUAAAAAAUAAUUAUAUAUUUUUCUCGAUUUUAAAAGAGUUAAUAAAUUAUUAAAUAUAUUGUAAUAAAAUUAUUUUAAAUAGUUUAUUAGAAAUGAAAUGUUAUUCGUUUUUAAUGGUAUCUAGUUUUUUAAGAAAUAAAUUUAAUUUAGAAUUUAUUUAGUAAAUAUUUAGUUAAUUAAAUAAUUUAUUUAAAUAAAUUUAAUAUAUUAUGGGAUAAGCUGUAAUAUAAAUUAUUAAAAAUAUAAAUUUUUAUAAAAAUGUAUGCUUAGAAUUAGCAAUCAUUAAUAAAUUUGUUAUAAAUUAUUUAUUAAAACAAAUGAUUUAUUAUAUUUUAAUUAUUUAUUAAAAUAAUUUUUAUAAUUAUGUAAAAAAUGUAAUAAUGAUAAAAUUAGUAUAUAUUAUUGUUAUAAAAAUUAUAAAUGAAAAGUUUAUUUAAAGAAUUCGGCAAAAUAGUGCUCGCCUGUUUAACAAAAACAUGUCUUUUUGUGAUAUUUUUAAAGUCUAACCUGCCCACUGAAUAAAUUUAAAUGGCCGCAGUAUCCUAACUGUGCAAAGGUAGCAUAAUCAUUAGUCUUUUAAUUGAAGGCUGGUAUGAAUGGUUGGACGAGGUAUUAACUGUUUCAAAUGAAUUUAUUAUAGAACUUUAUUUUUUAGUCAAAAAGCUAAAAUAAAUUUAAAAGACGAGAAGACCCUAUAAAUCUUUACUUUUUAAUUAUUUUAAUUAUAAAGAUAAAUUUUAUUAUAAUAAGUAAAAAAGUUUUAUUGGGGUGAUAUUAAAAUUUAAUAAACUUUUAAUUUUUUAAGACAUAAAUUAAUGAAUAAUUGAUCCAUUAUUAGUGAUUAAAAAUUUAAGUUACUUUAGGGAUAACAGCGUAAUUUUUUUGGAGAGUUCUUAUCGAUAAAAAAGAUUGCGACCUCGAUGUUGGAUUAAGAAAAAAUUUAGGUGCAGUCGCUUAAAUGUUAAGUCUGUUCGACUUUUAAAUUCUUACAUGAUCUGAGUUCAAACCGGCGUAAGCCAGGUUGGUUUCUAUCUUUAAUUUUCUAUAAUAUUUUAGUACGAAAGGACCAAAUAUUAGAAUAAUUAUAUUUUAAAUUAUGAAUAUUAUUAAUAUAA
rnacentral:rRNA from 1 species